AUUGAACGCUGGCGGCAGGCCUAACACAUGCAAGUCGAACGAGUGGCGGACGGGUGUGUAGUGUCGUAGAAUGUGCCUUAUCGAGGGGGAUCACGUGUGUAAACCGUAGCUACUACCGCAUACGAUCAUUUGUGCCGAGGUGGGAUUAGCUUGUUGGUGGGGUCACGUCUCCCGAAGGCGAAGCUCCCAAUCUGGUCUGAGAGGAUGACCAGCAACACUGGAACUGAGACACGGCCCAGACUCCUACGGGAGGCAGCAGUGGGGAAUAUUGCACAAUGGGCGAAAGCCUGAUGAAGCCAUGCCGCGUGAGUGAAGAAGGCCUUCGGGUUGUAAAGUACUUUCAGCGGGGAGGCGUUACCCGAAGAAAAAGCCACGGCUAACUCCGUGCCAGCCGCCGCGGUAAUAC
rnacentral:rRNA from 1 species